UAUCCUUAUUUGCCAGCACGUCAUUGGUUGGGAACUAUAAGGAGACUGCCGGUGAUAAACCGGAGGAAGGCGGGGACGAUGUCAGGUCAUCAUGGCCCUUACGACCAGUGCUACACACGUGCUACAAUGGGAAGGACAAAGGGUUGCUAAGCCGCGAGGUGGUGCUAAUCUCAUAAACCUUUUCGUAGUCCGGAUCGGAGUCUGCAACUCGACUCCGUGAAGUCGGAAUCGCUAGUAAUCGUGGAUCAGAAUGCCACGGUGAAUAUGUUC
rnacentral:rRNA from 1 species